GGAGUUAGUGGCGGACGGGUGAGUAACACGUGGGAACGUGCCUUUAGGUUCGGAAUAACUCAGGGAAACUUGUGCUAAUACCGAAUGUGCCCUUCGGGGGAAAGAUUUAUCGCCUUUAGAGCGGCCCGCGUCUGAUUAGCUAGUUGGUGAGGUAAAGGCUCACCAAGGCGACGAUCAGUAGCUGGUCUGAGAGGAUGAUCAGCCACAUUGGGACUGAGACACGGCCCAAACUCCUACGGGAGGCAGCAGUGGGGAAUCUUGCGCAAUGGGCGAAAGCCUGACGCAGCCAUGCCGCGUGAAUGAUGAAGUUCUUAGGAUUGUAAAAUUCUUUCACCGGGGACGAUAAUGACGGUACCCGGAGAAGAAGCCCCGGCUAACUUCGUGCCAGCAGCCGCGGUAAUACGAAGGGGGCUAGCGUUGCUCGGAAUUACUGGGCGUAAAGGGAGCGUAGGCGGACAUUUAAGUCAGGGGUGAAAUCCCGGGGCUCAACCUCGGAAUUGCCUUUGAUACUGGGUGUCUUGAGUAUGAGAGAGGUGUGUGGAACUCCGAGUGUAGAGGUGAAAUUCGUAGAUAUUCGGAAGAACACCAGUGGCGAAGGCGACACACUGGCUCAUUACUGACGCUGAGGCUCGAAA
rnacentral:rRNA from 1 species